rnacentral:rRNA from 1 species
UCGGCUUAGAGUUUGAUCAUGGCUCAGGACGAACGCUGGCGGCGUGCCUAAUACAUGCAAGUUGAGCGUUGGUACUUGUACCAAGAGCAGCGAACGGGUGAGUAACGCGUGGGGAAUCUGCCUUUGAGCGGGGGACAACAUUUGGAAACGAAUGCUAAUACCGCAUAAAAACUUAACACAAGUUUAAGUUGAAAGAUGAUUGCAUCACUCAAAGAUGAUCCCGCGUUGUAUUAGCUAGUUGGUGAGGUAAAGGCUCACCAAGGCGAUGAUACAUAGCCGACCUGAGAGGGUGAUCGGCCACAUUGGGACUGAGACACGGCCCAAACUCCUACGGGAGGCAGCAGUAGGGAAUCUUCGGCAAUGGACGAAAGUCUGACCGAGCAACGCCGCGUGAGUGAAGAAGGUUUUCGGAUCGUAAAACUCUGUUGGUAGAGAAGAACGUUGGUGAGGAAACUCAUCAAGUGACGGUAACUACCCAGAAAGGGACGGCUAACUACGUGCCAGCAGCCGCGGUAAUACGUAGGUCCCGAGCGUUGUCCGGAUUUAUUGGGCGUAAAGCGAGCGCAGGUGGUUUAUUAAGUCUGGUGUAAAAGGCAGUGGCUCAACCAUUGUAUGCAUUGGAAACUGGUAGACUUGAGUGCACGAGAGGAGAGUGGAAUUCCAUGUGUAGCGGUGAAAUGCGUAGAUAUAUGGAGGAACACCGGUGGCGAAAGCGGCUCUCUGGCCUGUAACUGACACUGAGGCUCGAAAGCGUGGGG